rnacentral:rRNA from 1 species
CCUACGGGGGGCAGCAGUGGGGAAUAUUGGACAAUGGGCGAAAGCCUGAUCCAGCCAUGCCGCGUGUGUGAAGAAGGCCUUCGGGUUGUAAAGCACUUUCAGUGGGGAAGAAAGCCUUGGGGCUAAUACCCUCGAGGAAGGACAUCACCCACAGAAGAAGCACCGGCUAACUCCGUGCCAGCAGCCGCGGUAAUACGGAGGGUGCGAGCGUUAAUCGGAAUUACUGGGCGUAAAGCGCGCGUAGGCGGUCUGAUAAGCCGGUUGUGAAAGCCCCGGGCUCAACCUGGGAACGGCAUCCGGAACUGUCAGGCUAGAGUGCAGGAGAGGAAGGUAGAAUUCCCGGUGUAGCGGUGAAAUGCGUAGAGAUCGGGAGGAAUACCAGUGGCGAAGGCGGCCUUCUGGACUGACACUGACGCUGAGGUGCGAAAGCGUGGGUAGCAAACAGGAUUAGAUACCCUUGUGUC